rnacentral:rRNA from 1 species
GAGUUUGAUCCUGGCUCAGAUUGAACGCUGGCGGCAUGCCUUACACAUGCAAGUCGAACGGCAGCGCGGGGCAACCUGGCGGCGAGUGGCGAACGGGUGAGUAAUAUAUCGGAACGUACCCUGGAGUGGGGGAUAACGUAGCGAAAGUUACGCUAAUACCGCAUACGAUCUAAGGAUGAAAGCAGGGGACCGCAAGGCCUUGUGCUCCUGGAGCGGCCGAUAUCUGAUUAGCUAGUUGGUGGGGUAAAGGCCUACCAAGGCAUCGAUCAGUAGCUGGUCUGAGAGGACGACCAGCCACACUGGAGCUGAGACACGGUCCAGACUCCUACGGGAGGCAGCAGUGGGGAAUUUUGGACAAUGGGCGAAAGCCUGAUCCAGCAAUGCCGCGUGAGUGAAGAAGGCCUUCGGGUUGUAAAGCUCUUUUGUCAGGGAAGAAACGGUGAGGGCUAAUAUCCCUUGCUAAUGACGGUACCUGAAGAAUAAGCACCGGCUAACUACGUGCCAGCAGCCGCGGUAAUACGUAGGGUGCAAGCGUUAAUCGGAAUUACUGGGCGUAAAGCGUGCGCAGGCGGUUUUGUAAGUCUGUCGUGAAAUCCCCGGGCUCAACCUGGGAAUUGCGAUGGAGACUGCAAGGCUAGAAUCUGGCAGAGGGGGGUAGAAUUCCACGUGUAGCAGUGAAAUGCGUAGAGAUGUGGAGGAACACCGAUGGCGAAGGCAGCCCCCUGGGUCAAGAUUGACGCUCAUGCACGAAAGCGUGGGGAGCAAACAGGAUUAGAUACCCUGGUAGUCCACGCCCUAAA